rnacentral:rRNA from 1 species
UACAGAGGGUGCGAGCGUUAAUCGGAAUUACUGGGCGUAAAGCGCGUGUAGGCGGUCCGGUAAGUCCGCUGUGAAAGUCGGGGGCUCAACCCUCGAAUGCCGGUGGAUACUGUCGGGCUAGAGUGCGGAAGAGGCGAGUGGAAUUCCUGGUGUAGCGGUGAAAUGCGCAGAUAUCAGGAGGAACACCAAUUGCGAAGGCAGCUCGCUGGGACGUAACUGACGCUGAGACGCGAAAGCGUGGGGAGCAAACAGG